GUUCUUUCGAAGUUACAUUGGAGUCCCUCAGUAACCAUUCUUAUUAGAUUCUCACUGGUUUUCAGAGGGAGUUUCUGUUUGUUGGCCAACUUUAGAACACUCUUCUCAUCAAGGAUUACACCUUGAGCUCUUUCUUAAUCCUGUGUGUGCACAGCGCUUCCUUAGGCUCCACAGCCUUCCUCCCCACAUAGUUCUUCAGUUCCACAGGCUUCCUCCUCAGGUAGUUCUCCAACCAGUUGCUUCCAGCCCCUAGAACACCUGUGAGUGGGGGAGAACACCCACAAGGCGCUGCGUCCUCAGAAACCACCUCUUAGCAAAAAUUUUAGCUGGCGAUGGUCAGGGUGUGACUUCAGUGUUCAAACUAAGUCUACAUCUCAUUAAUGAUCUCUGGGUCCACCGUUCUUCUUGAUGCAAGACAGCAUUUGAACAAGCCUGUAGAAUUAGGAGCCUUAUAUUUGAAUGGUGAAGAGAAGAGAAGAUCAUGCUGUUUUCAGGUAAAAUUUCUGGGAGUUCUGUGAAUACAAGGAAUAAUAAGGGAACUUUGAUUCUUAAAGGAAGUCGAUAGCUGCAUUGUUUGCUUUGAAAAUCAGUUUAACUGAAAAA
rnacentral:lncRNA from 1 species